rnacentral:rRNA from 1 species
UACGUAGGAUCCAAGCGUUGUCCGGAUUUACUGGGUGUAAAGGGUGCGCAGGCGGACUUGUAAGUCAGGGGUGAAAUCUCACAGCUUAACUGUGAAACUGCCUUUGAUACUGCAAGUCUUGGAUCCAGAAGAGAGUUGUGGAAUUCCGAGUGUAGCAGUGAAAUGUGUAGAUAUUCGGAAGAACACCAGUGGCGAAGGCAGCAACUUGGUCUGGUAUCGACGCUCAGGCACGAAAGCAUGGGGAGCAAACAGGG